rnacentral:rRNA from 1 species
GUCUGACGGAGCACGCCGCGUGAGCGAUGAAGGCCUUCGGGUCGUAAAGCUCUGUUGUUAGGGAAGAACAAGUACCGUAGUAACUGGGCGGACCUUGGCCGGACCUAACCCGAAAGCCACCGGUAACUACCUGCCCGCCGCCCCCGUAAUACCUAAGUGGGAAGCCUUUUCCGGAAUUAUUGGGCGUAAAGCGCCCGCCGGGGGGUUCUUUAGUCCGAAGUGAAAGCCCCCGGGUCCACCGGGGAAGGGCAUUUGAAACUGGGGGACUUGAAUGCCAAAAAAGAAAAGGGGAUUCCCAGUGUUACGGUGAAAUGGCUAAAAAUUUGGAAGAACCCCCGUGGGCAAAGGGGCUUUCUGGGCUGUAACUGAACCUUAAGGCCCAAAGCCUGGGGAACCAACAAGAAUAAAAUCCCCGGGAGUCCACCCCGUAAAC